rnacentral:rRNA from 1 species
GAUGAACGCUAGCGAUAGGCUUAACACAUGCAAGUCGAGGGGCAGCGAGGGUAGCAAUACCUGUCGGCGACCGGCGCACGGGUGAGUAACGCGUAUGUAACCUGCCCGCAACAGGGGGAUAACCCGGCGAAAGUCGGACUAAUACCGCAUAAAACAGGGGUCCCGCAUGGGAAUAUUUGUUAAAGAUUUAUCGGUUGCGGAUGGGCAUGCGUACCAUUAGGUAGUUGGUGAGGUAACGGCUCACCAAGCCUUCGAUGGUUAGGGGUUCUGAGAGGAAGGUCCCCCACACUGGUACUGAGACACGGACCAGACUCCGACGGGAGGCAGCAGUGAGGAAUAUUGGUCAAUGGGCGAGAGCCUGAACCAGCCAAGUCGCGUGAAGGAUGACUGCCCUAUGGGUUGUAAACUUCUUUUACAAGGGAAUAAAAUGAGAUACGUGUAUUUUAUUGCAUGUACCUUGGGAAUAAGCAUCGGCUAACUCCGUG